GUUUCGGUUUCGGAGGGACUCGCAGGCAAAGUUCAGGCUUGCCGGGAGCCAGAGGAAAUGGUCAAAGAAGACUCACGUGGGGGGAAGCUCAGGAUGGACAUGACCUUUUCUGCAUGUCAGCCAAAGCGCCGGCGUUCGAGGUCCGCAGCCGAGCUGCCGGGGGGAAGUGCGCCGGCUGGGGAGGAGGUUUCCAAGCAACGCUGGGCAGUAAGCCCCGCAAUCGCCGCACCCCAAACAAGAGAUGUGCACACUUUCUUCCUUGGCCAAUCGUCAGAGAUUUGUGGCAGGCCAAAAACUGGCCCUUUGCCUCAUGGAAAGAACAAAAGACAAGGACAUCUGAAGAGUAACGCCAUUGUGCCUGUAUUCUCCUGCUACCCUUGAAUUAAGCUUUUGAGCAGCUGUGUCGUCAGCUGACACACAAUAGCAUUUGAUGUUUGACAUACCUUUUAACUCGCAUCACAGGGGGCAGUUAUCCAUUUUUAACAAUUAAGUUCAUACCAUACUGGGUGUUUUACUUCUUGGGUUGAGAGGGAUUUGGAGCAAUAGAGGGAUUGACUGGGUCUCUCUUUUUCUCUUUCAUUACAGAAGCAUGAAAGGCACUACAUAACAACUCUCUAAUUCUGUCAUGUUCCACUAAUUAAAUCUUGUUAAUUAGUUUUUUUAUUAUGUGAUA